rnacentral:rRNA from 1 species
AGGGUGGUAAACGACUGCGGGCUUGGUGUUGGGGGUCCGUUAGUGGGCGGCCCAGUGCCGGAGAGAAGUUGUUAAGCCUGCUGCUUGGGGAGUAUGUCCGCAAGGAUGAAACUUAAAAGGAAUUGGCGGGGGGAGGCACCACAACGGGUGGAGCUUGCGGUUUAAUUGGAUUCAACGCCGGAAAUCUUACCGGAUAAGACAGCGGAAUGAUUGCCGGGCUGAAGACUCUGCAUGACUAGCUGAGAGGAGGUGCAUGGCGUAGACGUCU